UUCAUGUCAACCGAUCCAAUUACUUACUGACGUUUGAUAACACCAUGGAUGCAAUGGAGAUUGAUUCUGCAGGCAAGGAUGAAGAAGGAAAAGCAAAACCUGUAAUGGUAAUACUGAUAGGAGCUCCAGGAAGUGGCAAGUCCACUUUUUGUGACCUUGUUAUGCGAGUCUCUACCAGGCCUUGGAUUCGUAUUUGCCAGGAUACCAUUGGGAAUGGUAAG
rnacentral:misc_RNA from 1 species